rnacentral:hammerhead_ribozyme from 1 species
GCAUUUAUGAGGAGUCCCAUACUAGGACGAAACGGCUGUCCAGUAC